GGGGGCAUAGCUCAGUUGGGAGAGCAGCAGACUGAAGUGUUAUGAUUUCUGAAGGUCCCGCGUUCAAUCCGCGGUGCCCCCA